rnacentral:rRNA from 1 species
ACGUAGGGGGCGAGCGUUGUCCGGAUUUAUUGGGCGUAAAGAGCUCGUAGGCGGUUCAACAAGUCGGUCGUGAAAGUUCAGGGCUCAACCCUGAAAUGUCGAUCGAUACUGUUGUGACUAGGAUACGGCAGAGGUGAGUGGAAUUCCGAGUGUAGCGGUGAAAUGCGUAGAUAUUCGGAGGAACACCAAUUGCGAAGGCAGCUCACUGGGCCGCUAUCGACGCUGAGGAGCGAAAGCUAGGGGAGCAAACAGG